ensembl:lncRNA
CUGACAGUGAGGGAUUUUUCUGGCCUGACCUGUUGCUGAACAAGGCAAUCCUCUACUGAGGGAUUGGGCUGCUGAGAGGAAUGGUGUUCCCUGGGAAUAAGGAACCCCAGCCAUGGCUGGAAGAGCAUUUUCCCAACUGCUGCCUGGGAGAAGCAGCAAAACUCAGUAGGUGUUUGGGACGUGCAGACCUAGGCUUGACUGUGUCACUUACCCACACAGGAGCUACAUCAGGAAGGUAAUUCAGUGUUCUCACCAUGGUAUAAAAAUAACCUUAAUGCGUUUUUGUGAUUGCUUCUUUGGGAGGAGAAUUUUAGAAAAUGCUAAAAGAUGUAUUUAAUGAAAAAUAAUCAGAUCAAAGACAAAUAGUUUUUCUUCUUUUGUUGAUCAGUUUUUUGUUUGUUUGUUUGUUUGAAAGAACCAGUUUAAUUAGAGUUUGGAGGUUUAUUGUGAGUGGAAAUUUUGCUUUUAAACUUGCUCAUAGGUGUGGAAAUAAAAAGCUGAGCUUGGAUCUACAUGUCCCAGGGGCCUCUCUGCCAGACUGGAUUGUAUCCAUGAGUCCAGCAUGCAGGUGGUAAAAUACUGACUGCCAUGAACUUCAUCAGGAAAAAAAAAGUAUAAAAGAGGAAAAAAGCAGUGGUUUGGAAGCAGCUGGAUGGCAAACUGCAGGCUGGGAAUGUGUCUGCCAAAACCACCACAAGGAGAGUGGGGCAUAAAGGCAUUUGUGGAGCAUUCUGUUUGCUAAUUGCUCAUGGAAUUUCAGGUUGAAAGAGAAGAAUGGAAUCUACCAGGUGGCUGCAUUUUGAAAAACAGGACCCAAUUUCUGCUGCAUGGAGGGAGUGCAGUGAGGGCUGUGAGAGGAGCUGCAGACAGAGCUGUCAGUCUGGGGAAGGUGCAGAGGCAGCCCCUGUGUUUUGUCCCAGUGCCCAAGGUGAGAUUUGGGAGUUCCCUGUGGCACAGCUGCUCCAUUCCUCAUAGAUCUCUGUGCAGGGUGUCCAGAUCACGGGGGCUUGUGGGGUGGUGGCCAUCCUUUACUUCAGAGACGACAGAAUUCAGGGGUAGGAUCAAACAUGUGGAGAAGAUGGCAGCCAGGUGGAGAUCAAGUUAAUAUUAUCAGAUUUAUUUCUGCCAUGGGAAAAGUGAGUGCGGCAUGAGAGAGUGAGUCUUAGAGGGAUCCUUUGAGACAAGAAACUCUUGGGAUGCAACUUUGGUCCUACAGCAAUAUGUGGUAAGACUCUUCUGAAUUUCUGGGGCCACAACUUUGUCAUCAAUGUUUUAUAGGUGUGUUUCACACAGAAAAUGUAUAGAAGCAGUUUGUUUCCUAAGGAGUGCUCUUAAAGCUGGAAAAUAUCAGGUGCUAAUUUUUUUCUCUCAUCUCACCCUAAAUGUUUUGUAACAUUAAUACCAGUGACGUCCCACUUCUGCUGCUUUUUAUUAAUGGGAUGUGGCUUGUCAGUUAUAAGCCUGGGCACUGGAGUUGGAAGCACUUGCUUUAUUUAAAAAUGAAAACAAAAAUUAAGAAAAAAAAGGGCUUUGAUUACUCAGGUGUCAACAGAAAAAAACUGUGAUGUUGUGCCAGAUGGCUGCAUUUGUGAAGCAGAGUGUAGUCAGAAGGAAAGUGGAAGGAGACAAGGCAAGUGUACAUCAGGAGUGUGAAAACAUGACCAAAAUACCUUCAGCCUUGUUUCACCAACACUGGAUUAGGAGGCAACUGUGGUGAGAUGCAAGCAAAGAAAAGCAGAAGGGGACACUGUUUGGAAAACAAAAAUGUCUUUCACAAAAGCUUUGAAUUAACAAAAAUCAGGAGGUUUUGCAUUAAAUGGGCCAGUGGCUUGGAGCACUGUGCCAAGUGCCAGUGCGAAGUGCCACACGUGAGAGAGUGAAGCAGUGAUGGCAGCAGGCUGUGUUGGGCCCAGGGUGCACGGGAGCAGGAUGUGCUGCUGCCGGGCAUCGCCGAGUGCCCGCUGUGCCCGGGGACUCCAGCGCUGCCCAGCGCCAGCCACGGCUGCACGGGCCCAGGAAGGGUUUCCCAGG